rnacentral:lncRNA from 1 species
UGUUACCAGGGCAUCCCAGAUUCUCUUCUCAUUAAUAACAAAAGAGUUUAAAAAUGGACCCAGAAGGGAGCUCAAGGGCAGCUUUACAUAUGUUUGAGAGGAAAAAAGAAAAGCAGCAGGAAGAAGAAGGGACAAAGAGAGACAGGCCAGCUGCUGGCCCCACACCAUUUCCUCCAAGAAAACUGGUGGUCACUGAAGAAACUCCAGCCACAAAAAUGGCAACACUAGUCACUGAGCAACCCUGCCCUUCACCUCAACUGCUGCAAAGGACUCUUUGGACCAUGGACAAGAGGACAGUGGAAUCAACUUUCCCCGAGUUGCUUGGGUCAACGGUCUAAGAGGUGCCUGAGUUUCAUACAGCCUGGACGUCGAUGGAGCAACCAGCUACCCCAGGAAGCCCAGGAAGUGGCAGCACCCCAGCUUUCUCAGGUCCCCCAAAGGUGGUCAACGCCCUCCAGGUCAGCAGGAAGCAGUCUUGAGAACUCAACAUCCUUAUUCCCUAAACUGCCACGUCUAACACCCCACUUUUUAACUAAUAAGUAAAGGUGGGAAUGAAAGGUUCGGGCAUUAAUGCCGACCUGCCUGUACCUCUUAAGAGACAGACCCCGCCCCCUGACAACGGGUGGGGCAUGCACAGUGAUAUGCCACAUCGUUGCCACAUCACUGGUUACAGAUAUUUGUGAGGACUCUGCAAGCCUGAAGCCUCAGUGCACAUCCUCGGCUUUCCCUUUAAUACCUGUCUCUCUCCUCUGGCUCCCCCUUUCUGGUGGUCGACCACUAACUCUUCUCUUUACUCUCUUACCUCCUUCCUCCCUGCUCUCUGCUCGCUCUCUCUCUCUCUUCCGUGUCUCUCUCGUC